AUGAGCCUACGGGGGGCAGCAGUGGGGGAUAUUGCACAAUGGGGGAAACCCUGAACGAGCAAUGCCGCGUGAGUGAUGACGGUCUUAAUGAUUGUAAAACUCUGUUGUAAAGGAAGAACAGCUAUCAUAGGUAAUGAUGAUAGUGUGACGGUACUUUACCAGAAAGCCCCGGCUAACUACGUGCCAGCAGCCGCGGUAAUACGUAGGGGGCGAGCGUUAUCCGGAUUUAUUGGGCGUAAAGCGUUCGUAGGCGGUUUGUUAAG
rnacentral:rRNA from 1 species